rnacentral:rRNA from 1 species
GGGAAAGAUGAAAAGCACUUUGGAAAGAGAGUUAAACAGUACGUGAAAUUGCUGAAAGGGAAACACUUGAAGUCAGUCGCGUUGACCGGAGCUCAACCUUGCUUUUUUGGGCUUGGUGCACUUUCUGGUUGACGGGUCAGCAUCAAUUUUGACUGUUGGAGAAGGGUUGGGGAAAUGUGGCACCUUCGGGUGUGUUAUAGCCCCCAGUCACAUACAAUGGUUGGGAUUGAGGAACUCAGCACACCUUUAUGGUCAGGGUUUUUUUAACCUAUGUUAUUGUGCUUAGGAUGCUGGCGUAAUGG